UGCAAGUCGAGCGGANANGAGGUGCUUGCACCUUAUCUUAGCGGCGGACGGGUGAGUAAUGCUUAGGAAUCUGCCUAUUAGUGGGGGACAACAUUCCGAAAGGAAUGCUAAUACCGCAUACGCCCUACGGGGGAAAGCAGGGGAUCUUCGGACCUUGCGCUAAUAGAUGAGCCUAAGUCGGAUUAGCUAGUUGGUGGGGUAAAGGCCUACCAAGGCGACGAUCUGUAGCGGGUCUGAGAGGAUGAUCCGCCACACUGGGACUGAGACACGGCCCAGACUCCUACGGGAGGCAGCAGUGGGGAAUAUUGGACAAUGGGCGGAAGCCUGAUCCAGCCAUGCCGCGUGUGUGAAGAAGGCCUUUUGGUUGUAAAGCACUUUAAGCGAGGAGGAGGCUACUUAGAUUAAUACUCUGGGAUAGUGGACGUUACUCGCAGAAUAAGCACCGGCUAACUCUGUGCCAGCAGCCGCGGUAAUACAGAGGGUGCGAGCGUUAAUCGGAUUUACUGGGCGUAAAGCGUGCGUAGGCGGCUGAUUAAGUCGGAUGUGAAAUCCCUGAGCUUAACUUAGGAAUUGCAUUCGAUACUGGUCAGCUAGAGUAUGGGAGAGGAUGGUAGAAUUCCAGGUGUAGCGGUGAAAUGCGUAGAGAUCUGGAGGAAUACCGAUGGCGAAGGCAGCCAUCUGGCCUAAUACUGACGCUGAGGUACGAAAGCAUGGGGAGCAAACAGGAUUAGAUACCCUGGUAGUCCAUGCCGUAAACGAUGUCUACUAGCCGUUGGGGCCUUUGAGGCUUUAGUGGCGCAGCUAACGCGAUAAGUAGACCGCCNGGGGGAGUACGGUCGCAAGACUAAAACUCAAAUGAAUUGACGGGGGCCCGCACAAGCGGUGGAGCAUGUGGNUUNAAUUCGAUGCAACGCGAAG
rnacentral:rRNA from 1 species